UAAUGAAGUACUGGGCCAACUUUGCAUGCCAUGGAAACCCCAACAGUGAGGGUCUACCCUGCUGGCCUGUGAUGGACCAUGAUGAGCAGUAUCUGCAGCUGGACACUCAGCCUGCUGUGGGUCGAGCCUUGAAGGCCAGAAGGCUGCAGUUCUGGACCAAGACUCUGCCCAAGAAGAUCCAGGAGCUAAAGGGGUCUCAGGAGAGGCACAGAGAGUUGUAGUGCCAUGUGUGAAGAAAGGCUUGUGGCCUUCAUGUCUGAGGGAUUCUGCAGACACUGUGAAGCCCACACUUGUAUAAACAUAGCACAUCUGUCAAGAUCUUCAGCUAUGUAUGUUUCCUAGAGAUAAUAUGGGAGAGAAAAGAAUCCCCGGGCAUGUGUAGCAGAAGAGAUUUCUGUCCCUGGCACCUUGAUGGCUCCUCCAUGUAUGCAAAUGACUUCUUGCCUUUCAUAAAUCCUAAUAAAACCCACCUUUUCAUGACA